rnacentral:rRNA from 1 species
AGCGAACGCUGGCGGUAUGCCUAACACAUGCAAGUCGAACGGCGGCACAGUAAGAUCUUGCUCUUACGGGUGGCGAGUGGCGGACGGGUGAGGAGUACAACGGAAUCUACUUUUUCGUGGGGGCGAACGUAGGGAAACUUACGCUAAGAUCGCAUACGACCUACGGGUGGAAGCAGGGGAUCUUCGGACCUUGUGCGAUUGAACGCGCCGAUGUCGGAUUUGCUAGUUGGCGGGGGAAAGGCCCACCAAGGCGACGGUCCGUAGCUGGACUGAGAGGAUGAUCAGCCACACUGGAACUGAGACACGGUCCAGACUCCUACGGGAGGCACCAGUGCGGAAUCGUGGGCAAUGGGCGCAAGCCUGAUCCAGCCAUGCCGCGUGGGUGAAGAAGGCCUCCGGGUUGUAAAGCCCUUUUGUUGGGAAAGAAAAGCAGCACGUUAAUACCCCGCUGUACUGACGGUACCCAAAGAAUAAGCACCGGCUAACUUCGUG